UGAGAGCACAAAACUUAACAAAGAAUAGAUAGAAAAAGUUACAUAUGAAUAGCACAACCAGAAAAAAAAAAAAAAAAAAAAAAAAAAAAAAAAGGAAUAUACAGUAGGAAUCUGGAUUUUGGAAAUAAAAAAUAGCAAAAAGUGUACCUAUGCUGACGGUUAAUGAUAAAGGAAUGGUUGAGACUAAAAAUCCUCAAGAUUAUCCAGACUUGAAAUUUUGAGACAAAGCUCAUAGUAAUGUAGAUAUUUCUGCAAAUAUAUUCUCUUCUUCAAGGAGUAAUGGCUUUAAACUAAAAGAGGGUAGAUUUAGAUUAGAUAUAAGGAAGAAAUUCUUUACUCCGAGGAUGGUGAGGCACUGGAGCAGGUUGCCCAGAGAAACUGUGGAUGUUGCAUCCCUGGAAGUGUUUAAGUCCAGAUUGGAUGGGGCUUUGGACAACCUGGUCUAGUGGCAGGGGGGUUGGAACUAAAUGAUCUUUAAGGUUCAUUCCAACCCAAAUCAUUUUAUGGUUCUAUGAUUCUCCCAAGAAGCCAUACCCGUCCUUUCUAUCUAUAUCCACUGAUGAUUCCUCUACACAGAGAUUCUUUUUCUCUUUGUGAUUGUUUCUGUUUGUUCUGGAUCAAAUUUUUUCAUCUUUCUGUCAUUUCUUAAAAUAUGAUUAAAAAUGAGGCAAUGGCUUUGAUUAAAUGAAAAACAAUAGUCCUGCCACCAUGAGUCACUGUGAAGAACCUGACCUGGUCUUCUCAAUACCCUGUAGGUACUGGGGGACUGCUCUUAGAUACCUCAUGAAGCCACACCUUCUCCUGUUCAAAUAAGUCCCCAGUCCUGCAGACUCUGCUGACAGGGUGAAAGCUCAAGUCUUGGAUUGGGCCACCCCCUGGACUGACCCCUUUUUAUUGUUUUAUUGACAACUUUCUUGUAUGNGCCAAGGCCGGCCGCCCCGGCGAGAUCACCAUCCUCUCCGUCGGCAGGUUUCGGGUGUCCCGUAUCCCCGAGCAGAAGCCCGGCACGGCAGCGGGGACUGGGGGUGACCCGUCCCGGGGUCCCCUCCCCGCCGGCAGCGGGACAAGGCCGUCGUGGCUGAAGAGCACCGAGAGCCGCCCCGAGGUGAGGGGGGGACACGGGACGGGACGGGGACAAAGCUGAACACAGUUCUUUGUAUGUAGUUUAAUGCACACAUCAAAGCCUGAAACUCAGAUUUAUGUAAGAAUAGAGCUUUUUCAAAGAGAAAGACUGGGUGCUUCAUUGACAUAAUCUGUGUUAACAGUUCAGUUCCAUAACAGUUAUAAAUACUCAGUGUUGUAGAGAAAUGCUGAAGGAAAAAUGACGAUUUACUCAUAUCCUGUUCAUUCAUAUCAAUCCCAG
rnacentral:lncRNA from 1 species